UGGGGAAUAUUGCACAAUGGGCGAAAGCCUGAUGCAGCAACGCCGCGUGAGUGAUGAAGGUCUUCGGAUUGUAAAGCUCUGUCUUUUGGGACGAUAAUGACGGUACCAAAGGAGGAAGCCACGGCUAACUACGUGCCAGCAGCCGCGGUAAUACGUAGGUGGCGAGCGUUGUCCGGAUUUACUGGGCGUAAAGGGUGCGUAGGCGGAUGUUUAAGUGAGAUGUGAAAUACCCGGGCUUAACUUGGGUGCUGCAUUUCAAACUGGAUAUCUAGAGUGCAGGAGAGGAGAAUGGAUUCCUAGUGUAGCGGUGAAAUACGUAGAGAUUAGGAAGAACACCAGUGGCGAAGGCGAUUCUCUGGACUGUAACUGACGCUGAGGCACGAAAGCGUGGGUAGCAAACAGGAUUAGAUACCCUGGUAGUCCACGCCGUAAACGAUGAGUACUAGGUGUAGGAGGUAUCGACCCCUUCUGUGCCGCAGUAAACACAUUAAGUACUCCGCCUGGGAAGUACGAUCGCAAGAUUAAAACUCUAAAGUGAAUUGAC
rnacentral:rRNA from 1 species